rnacentral:rRNA from 1 species
GACGAACGCUGGCGGCGUGCUUAACACAUGCAAGUCGAACGGAAAGGCUCCAGCUUGCUGGAGUACUCGAGUGGCGAACGGGUGAGUAACACGUGGGUAAUCUGCCCUGCACUCUGGGAUAAGCCUGGGAAACUGGGUCUAAUACUGGAUAUGACCUUUCUCCUUAUGGGGUUUGGUGGAAAGUUUUUCGGUGUAGGAUGAGCCCGCGGCCUAUCAGCUUGUUGGUGGGGUGAUGGCCUACCAAGGCGACGACGGGUAGCCGGCCUGAGAGGGUGAUCGGCCACAUUGGGACUGAGAUACGGCCCAGACUCCUACGGGAGGCAGCAGUGGGGAAUAUUGCACAAUGGGCGGAAGCCUGAUGCAGCGACGCCGCGUGAGGGAUGACGGCCUUCGGGUUGUAAACCUCUUUCAGCAGGGACGAAGCGUAAGAGACGGUACCUGCAGAAGAAGCACCGGCUAACUAUGUG